rnacentral:lncRNA from 10 species
CCCCAACAUGAAGGCCUUUGAUGGGCUUCAUCCUAAACGAGGCUGAGCAGACAAAGUGAGUGUCCCAGGGCUGGAUGGGGACCGGAAUAUGACUGCCCCAGAACCUGGCUCCCAGGGCUGCAGCAGUGUCCAUGCCUGGCUCCACCCCCACCAGGGUAGACAGAAACCACCUGGGCUCUGCACACAGCUGCACUGCGCUUCCUGCAGCCAGCUUCUGCCAUGUGAGGACAGAGCGCUCCUCCCUCUAGAGGAUGCAGCAUUCAAGGCGCCAUGUUGGAAGCAGAGAGCAGACCCUCACCAGACAAUGGACUUGCUGGCAACUCACUCUUGAACUUCUCAACCUCCAGAACUCUGAGAAAAUAAAUUUCUGUUCUUUAUAAAUUACCCAGGCUCUGGCAUUUUGUUACAG